ensembl:lncRNA
GCCCUCUCAGGACACAAACAUGUUACAUAAGCCAAAGUGAGUGCAGCAGAUGCUAUUUGGGACACAUCUGUUCAGACGAUUACCUACUAGCCACAAACAUCGAAAAAAUAAUACUGACCAGGCUGUGCUGCCAUGAAGACAGACCAGAUCCCUGAUGCCAGAGGGGAGAUGAGACUGUCAUGCAUUGUUCACAGACUGCAGGGCCACAUUGUGACAAAUCACCAGCAGCUUCAGUUCAACAGUGGUGACCAGGCCAAUGUGUCACAGCACACCUUCUGCAUAUCUAUUUCACAUAAAUACAUUUUCUUCUGUGAAAGAUCUAAUGACUAGAAUCAAAACCAUAUCAGAGUGUUUUACUUUGACUGGUAUGAUAAACUAGGCUGUUACUCACUACUGCCUAAACAUUAAAGAAUGUCAUUUAUUUAAUUUUAAUAUAACAAUCCAUUCAGGCAACAAUAUCACAAAAUCACAGGCUUUAAUAGCCAUCUUUGGGGUUUGCUUUAUCUAAGAUCUGUUGUUGUGCUGAAGUCUAAUAAUGAAUGACAUUUCUCUGUAGAGAAGGAUGUUGGGUUCCAGGCAUUGCAAGCCCCCCCUGAAGUAAUCACCAUGUUAAUUAAAACAAGGAAAAACAAAUCAUUCAUCAGUGUGUCUCAAGGUGUCUCCUCAAUAUAAUCUAUUUAUAACCACAACACAAAAAAGGGACCCCAAUUAACCUUCAUAUGUACUUUAAACUAACAGUAUAUGAACUAAUACAAGAGCUCAUAACACAGAUGAGGGAUAAAGAAAGAGAAGGGGGGUGAAAUACUUCACCAUAUCAUAACAAAUGGGGCAACACAAAAAAUAAAAACAAAGAUAUACAUUUACCA